GGAAGGGGUAAUAACGUUUGAAAUGUAAAUAAACGAAAUAACCAAUAAAAAAUAAGUAAGUAAAAAAAAAAAAAAAUCCGUGUGGCUCCCUCGCCAGAAAGGCAAGCAUAAUCAAUAAAGUCCAAGUCCAAAUGAAAGGUCUUUUCUCAAAAAAUAAAAGGCUGAAGGGUGAUCCAACCAACUUUUCUUGACCUUUGCCUUCUACAUGCAUAUUCACGUACAUAUAUGUACCCCCACACAUGUGUAUACAUAGGAACAUACAUACAUACAUACAUACAUACACAAAAUAAUUUAAUUUUGAUAUGCUUACAGGUAAAUAUCGAGAAAUAUAGAAAAACACCAGAUAUCUCCAGUCUCAUAAUGUAGAGUAUACCAGAAUUAGGAAAGUGUAAUGAGAUCUGGGCUCCUAACAGGCCCAUCAUGAUAGUAGUACCUUAAUAAUCACAUCUCUUUCAGUUAUGGGCCCAAGUUUUUAUUGUUGUUGGUUGGUUUCGGUCUUGGUUUGAUUUAGUUUUGGUUCUUUAUUUUGUUUUAUUUUGGGAGGCAUAUUUGUUUGCCCUCUACCUCUCCUUCCAGGGUUUCUCUGUGUAGCCUUGUGUGUCUUAAAACUCAUCUGUAGUCCAGACUGGCCUCCAACUCAGAUGUACAGCCUGCCCCUCCUGUAAUCCUGGUUGUGUCAGAACUCCUCAGAGUCCAGCUGUCUCUGUGGUCCUAUGAUUCUGGGAUCCAGAGAUCCUGAGAUCCUGGGAGUCAAGCUGCUAUGAUCCUGAGCUCCUGGGAGUUGUGUUUCCUCUGGGUGUUGUAGGAGUGGGAUCCAUCCCAUAUUGCUGAUACCAAGAAGUACUUACUGACAGGAGCCUGAUAUGGAUGUCUCCUGAGAGCCUCUGCCAGAGCCUGACCAAUACAGAUGCAGAUGGUUGUAGCCAACCAUCAGACUGAGCAAAAGGACACUGAUGGAGGAGUUAGGAGAAAGACUGAAGGAGCCUUAUCUGGCAUCAACGGGAGGAGAGGCCAUUGUUCCUGUGAAAGCUUGAUGCCCCAGCAUAGGGGAAUACUAGGGCAGUGAGGCAGGAGUGGGGAGUACCCUCAUAGAAGCAGGGGAGGGGAAACUAGGAAAGGGGAUAACAUUUGAAAUGUAAAUAAAGAAAAUAAAAAA
rnacentral:lncRNA from 1 species